AUGGAUUUCUGCUUUUCGGUUCCAGGUAUAUGUGUUGCACUUGCCCUCUGUAUCGCUGUGCCAAGAGCUAGCAAGAACCGUUUCUUUAAUUACGCAUUUUUGCGAUACACUGUAAUUAUCAUCAUACUGAACUGGUUUCAAUCCACACAGGGUGGGGGCCAUCCUGCUCUACAAUACGUUGCUUGUGGCGUGAUUAGUUUUGUUGAUGUUCACUGUUUGUGGAAUGUAGAAGUAAAACAGCCGAUGAGUGAAGUGUGGGAUUGGAACAUGUAUGGAACCAAACUGAAGUUUCAUGGAUGGUUUAUUAACACUGCCAAUGAGGAUGGUGACGGAGGUGAGGAUGGUGACGGAGGUGAGGAUGAUGCUUCAUUUGCCUCGGAGCAUUCCGAUGAUGAAGAUUUGACGGAGGUGUCAAUUUUACGUGCGGUGCAAGUGUUGGCCAUUCGUGCAAACUUCCGUAUCAGCCGUAUGAAUGCCCAUGACUGGUACCAAAGUUUUGUCAUCUAUACGGCGCUCGAGGGGGAAGUAUAA
rnacentral:rRNA from 1 species